rnacentral:sRNA from 1 species
CGGCUCGAGCGUCAGCGAGAGAGCGUUGCCGCAGGCAACGACCCGAAGGGCGAAGCGCGCAGCGCUGAGUAAUCCUUCCCCCACCACCA